rnacentral:rRNA from 1 species
AGAGUUUGAUCAUGGCUCAGAUUGAACGCUGGCGGCAUGCCUAACACAUGCAAGUCGAACGGCAGCACAGGUAGCAAUACCGGGUGGCGAGUGGCGGACGGGUGAGGAAUACAUCGGGACCUGCCCAGACGUGGGGGAUAACGUAGGGAAACUUACGCUAAUACCGCAUACGUCCUACGGGAGAAAGCGGGGGAUCUUCGGACCUCGCGCGGUUGGAUGGACCGAUGUUCGAUUAGCUAGUUGGUGAGGUAAUGGCUCACCAAGGCGACGAUCGAUAGCUGGUCUGAGAGGAUGAUCAGCCACACUGGGACUGAGACACGGCCCAGACUCCUACGGGAGGCAGCAGUGGGGAAUAUUGGACAAUGGGCGCAAGCCUGAUCCAGCAAUGCCGCGUGUGUGAAGAAGGCCUUCGGGUUGUAAAGCACUUUUAUCAGGAGCGAAAUACUACGGGCUAAUACCCUGUGGGGCUGACGGUACCUGAGGAAUAAGCACCGGCUAACUUCGUGCCAGCAGCCGCGGUAAUACGAAGGGUGCAAGCGUUAAUCGGAAUUACUGGGCGUAAAGCGUGCGUAGGCGGUUUUUUAAGUCUGCUGUGAAAUCCCCGGGCUCAACCUGGGAAUGGCAGUGGAUACUGGAAAGCUAGAGUGUGUCAGAGGAUGGUGGA